rnacentral:lncRNA from 1 species
GCUUAAGGAUCUUCACCAUCUAUUUAGUUUAAGAAGCUAACCUAGCAUGAAGAUUAGUAGCAUCAAAUUGAAUGUACAUUAGCUUGACCAUGGGUCUCCUGCUUUCCUUCUAUCAGUUCGAUGAUCUGGUAUAUUUGGUUGGUAUUUCUUUCUCGUGCACUUGUGAGCACUGCUCUUGUCCUCAAAGUCUUCUAACAAGUUCUAAUGAUCCUUAUAAAUAUUUCUUAUGAACAGCUUGCGCACAACUUUGUGUGUUAGAUUCAGGAGUGAAGUUGUGGCCUGUGGUGUUGUAUAUGCUGCAGCCCGUAGAUUUCAAGCGCCAUUGCCAGAGAAUCCUCCAUGGUGGAAAGCAUUUGAUGCUGAUAAGUCUGGUAUAGAUGAGGUUUGUAGAGUUCUGGCCCACCUAUAUACCCUUCCAAAGGCACAGUAUAUACCUGUAUGCAAGGAACGGGGUUUAUUUGCAACAUCUAAUCGAUCAUGGGAUUCACCACAUGAGUUCUGGCCCACCUAUAUACCCUUCCAAAGGCACAGUAUAUACCUGUAUGCAAGGAACGGGGUUCAUUUGCAACAUCUAAUCGAUCAUGGGAUUCACCACAUGAGUCUGUUACCAAGGUAAACAUAUGCUUUAAUUAAAUUGGUUCAGUUUGAUAUGUAGCC